GGGUUCGAGACCAGUCUGGGUCACAUAGUGAGACUUCGUCUAUAUUAAAGAUAAAAAUUAAAAGAGUAGCUGGGCGUGGUGACACACAUUUGUUUUCACAGCUACUUGGGAGGGUGAGGCUGGAGAAUCGCUUUGGAAGAGGGAAGCCAGGUGAAUCAAAAGAAGAAAGAAAGAGGUGCCUGCAUUUUGCUGUCAAGACGCUCUCACCGAGGCUCAGGUUCUUCAUGUUCCGCUCCUAUUUUAGGCUUGGGACUGUAUAGCUGCUUAGUCCUGGGAAGGACUUAGGGGCUGACUGGUCCAGCCACACCAUUUCAUGAUGGCUCAGAAAAGGAAGGUAACUUGCCCAGUGUUACACAGACAGCUAGUGACAAAGUCCAGACUAAAACCUUCAUUUCCUCACUCCCAUUGCAGUGUUAUUUCCGUCUCUUCAUAUGGCUUCAAAAGUGCAUGUUUCCCAGAUCCCUCCUGUAAGACUUUGUCCCUGGACCCAGAGCUGUAGGCCCUUUGGACAGAAGCCAGCGCCUCAAGGAGAGGCAGGAGAGAAGCACCUGGGGAGGCUGGGGGAUGGGCCUGCCCUGGGAGUUAAUUUUAUUCACUUCAGUGGGACCAAAUGGAAUCGGAGCAUUAACGUGGUGAGUGUGCCUCAGAGCUGUCUAAACCAGCCGUGAAUACUAACCAGGGAGCUUAGAGGGAGCUAAAAAUAACUGGCUAAUCACCACCAGGAAGAAUUAACAAGGACUCUGAAGAAAGGAAAAUGUCUUAAUAUUCCAUCUCUCUGGCAGCUGGGCUCCAGCUGGGACUGAAGUCUCCUCCUGGCUUCCAUAGGUAGGGAUGGGGUUUUGCCAUGUUAUCCAGGCUGGUCUUGAACUCCUGACCUCAAGUGAUCCACCUGCCUCAGCCUCCCAAAAUGCUGAGAUUACAAAUGUGAGCCAUUGCACCUGGCCAGGACCUAAAUGCAGUCUUGAAGACGGGAAGUACAGCUGCUUGGAGCCUAUGGAUGAAGAUAAGAGAAAAAGGUUAAGAAGGGACGCCUCUUUUUGGAGAGAGUUCAGAAGGAGCUGCCCUUUCUGGCCUAGAACAAGCUGAACCGGAGGUGGGUGCUGUCAAAGUCCAGGUGCUUCCCGGUUGCCGUCACCUUCAGAGGGAGGCUGCACUGGUGGAGAUCACACAGGAACCAGCAGUCACAGGUCCUGAAGACGGACCACAGUUCUACUUCGGACUUGAUGAAACUGGUCAUUUAAGAUGAGUUUUCAUUUGCAGCUUCUUAUUGAAAAACAGUUUCCACAUAUGAGGUCCCUUCACACAGGUGUUUAAAAGUACAGCUGAGUCGCCUUCUCACGAUAAAAUAAAUCGCACCGCCAGUCAUGUUGUUUGUCUUCCUUCUGGGUAUUAGUGGUAGGAUUUUUCAGGCCUCUGAGAAGAAGGGUAGACCCCAGACAGAGAGUGAGCCUUACAACUCAGCAGUGGUUCCCUCUGCUUUCAGAAUAAAUUUCAACUUCCCUACUUUUCCCAACCUCCUGGCACCACAUAAGGCCUCUGUGCAUAAAUCCACUAAAAAAUAUUUUCUUUUAACAAAAUCAGGAGACUUUAUUUCAGGAAACAGUUUGUAAACCAGGGAGAAGCAGUCUUUGGUACAAAACAAAGGUGCAUUCAAAGAGAUCAAAGAGAGGGGUUGUCUAUUAUAAAAAAAAGAUUUCUUGCCCAGGUUCCCAUUUUGGUUUGUGAUGCAAACAAAGGAUGCAAGCUCGCUUAGUUUUGAUUGGUUGAUGCCCUGCUGAAUUCUGAUUUAUCGACACUUGCUGGGUUCCGAUUGGCCGAUGCAGGUCUGUUGGCUGAUUCAGGUGACCACGAACGGAACGGAGACAGACAGUUAUGAAAGUCCCAAAGUUAAGUGAGUGUGGGAGUUUUCUGAGAAUGCAGACUAUAUAUGUGACCUCUCAACAGCCAAUGGCCACUUGGCUCUAUCUUGAAUUCAGGCUCAGUUAACCACUGAGGGAUUGGUUCUUUCAGGGUUCCCACCUGCUUUUCAUUUUUAGGGAGAAAAACGAUUAUCCAAAAUUAAACCAUGGAAGAAAACUGCAUUUUGUAUCUUUGCAGCUGGAAUGGAGCCAAUCAUGAGAGAGGACUUGUUUCAAGUGAGAACUUGAAGCCCAGCCCUGACCUUCCCCUCAUACUCAUGGUCUGUCCAUGUCCUAACAGUCGCCCUUUCCUCCUGCUCGUCUGUCAGCUGGCCCCAUCCCGUGCCACCUGGCCUUCCAAAAGCAGGCAGAAAUGAAUCCUUUUCAUUUGCUUCUUAAAUAUGCCAGGUCUUUCAACCCCUUUUUUUUUCUGAUGGUCAGCACACCUGGCCCCAUAGAAUGUCCUGCCACAACUGC
rnacentral:lncRNA from 1 species